AUUGAACGCUGGCGGCAUGCCUUACACAUGCAAGUCGAACGGCAGCGGACCUUCGGGUGCCGGCGAGUGGCGAACGGGUGAGUAAUAUAUCGGAACGUGCCUUCCAGUGGGGGAUAACGUAGCGAAAGUUACGCUAACACCGCAUAUUCUCUGAGGAGGAAAGCAGGGGACCUUCGGGCAUUGCACUGAUAGAGCGGCCGAUAUCAGAUUAGCUAGUUGGUGGGGUAAAGGCCUACCAAGGCGACGAUCUGUAGCGGGUCUGAGAGGAGGAUCCGCCACGCUGGGACUGAGACACGGCCCAGACUCCUACGGGAGGCAGCAGUGGGGAAUUUUGGACAAUGGGCGAAAGCCUGAUCCAGCCAUGCCGCGUGAGUGAAGAAGGCCUUCGGGUUGUAAAGCUCUUUCGGCCGGGAAGAAAUCGCACAGGCUAAUACCUUGUGUGGAUGACGGUACCGGAAUAAGAAGCACCGGCUAACUACGUGCCAGCAGCCGCCGUAA
rnacentral:rRNA from 1 species